UACAGAGGUCUCAAGCGUUGUUCGGAUUCAUUGGGCGUAAAGGGUGCGUAGGCGGCGCGGUAAGUCGGGUGUGAAAUCUCGGAGCUUAACCCCGAAACUGCAUUCGAUACUGCCGUGCUUGAGGACUGGAGAGGAGACUGGAAUUUACGGUGUAGCGGUGAAAUGCGUAGAUAUCGUAAGGAAGACCAGUGGCGAAGGCGGGUCUCUGGACAGUUCCUGACGCUGAGACACGAAAGCCAGGGGAGCAAACGGG
rnacentral:rRNA from 1 species